rnacentral:tRNA from 1 species
GGGAAUAGCUCAGCUGGUAGAGCGCAACCUUGCCAAGGUUGAGGUCGCGAGUUCGAAUCUCGUUUUCCG